AUGCGAAGAACUAAUUCAGAGUUUCUACACCUCGCCGGAGUUCUUUGGGAAAUCACUCCAUUAUGGAUCUGUGCUGAUCAUGUUAAUAUCUUGUCAAGCCAUUGGUGGUGCUUCUCUUGGGGCACUUACCCAGAUGCAAAUGUCCUUGCUGCAUGUCUGGGACGCUCAAACCCGAAGAAGUUUCAGAGCACUGCACACAACAAUGACCAACAUGCAGUACAGUCACUUCAACCGACAACUUCGUCUUAUGCUCAAUGGGAUUCAGGAGGAUUGGAUUUUGCAGAACCAGCGAAGAACGGGCACCGGCUUGGGGGCAAGCCGACUGUUAAGGAGGAGGGGAUGUCAGCGACCUAA
rnacentral:rRNA from 1 species